rnacentral:rRNA from 1 species
GACGAACGCUGGCGGCGUGCUUAACACAUGCAAGUCGAACGGAAAGGCCCCUUUUGGGGUACUCGAGUGGCGAACGGGUGAGUAACACGUGAGUAACCUGCCCUUGACUUCGGGAUAACUUCAGGAAACUGGGGCUAAUACCGGAUAGGAAUCCUUGCUGCAUGGUGGGGGUUGGAAAGCUUCGGCGGUUUUGGAUGGACUCGCGGCUUAUCAGCUUGUUGGUGGGGUAGUGGCUUACCAAGGCUUUGACGGGUAGCCGGCCUGAGAGGGCGACCGGCCAAAAUGGGACUGAGAUACGGGCCAGACUCCCACGGGAGGCAGCAGUGGGGAAUAUUGCACAAUGGGCGGAAGCCUGAUGCAGCAACGCCGCGGGCGGGAUGACGGGCUUCGGGUUGGAAACCGCCUUCAGCAGGGGAGAAGCUUGUGGUGACGGUACCUGCAGAAGAAGCACCGGCUAACUACGUG